UCAUCUGUACGCAUGAUUCAAAAGUAGAGGGCCCACUUUUCUGUAAUGUGAAAACAGAAUGAUUGAACGUGGAUUCAUGGCGAUGAUGGUGAUUUUGAUAGGAGAGAAUUAGAGAAAACCCUCUUCUUCCCUCUUCAAUUCCCCAUAUCCGCAUUAGGGUUUUAUUGUUCUUCUAUAAACACAAACAUUUCAUCAUAAAACAAAAUCAACUCUUGUAAGCAAGCCACUCAACAUGUUGCUUCAAUCCUCAACAAACCCUAAUCUCUGGGCAACAAAAAGAUUGCACAACACAACUUUAUCGUUUGCUUCACCCACCAAUUUCCUUUAAAUCAUUAUUUAUAAUGAUAAAGGAAAAUGUGCCGACAGUUUGCUAGGAUUGUCCGAUAUCGAAUUUUGAAUUGUUUAGUUUUUUAUUUUUUUUAUAGAAGAAUAUUGUUGUGUAAAACUGAGGUUGAAUGGGGAUCAAUGUGUGUUGCGGAUUGAUUGUUUGGACACUGAAUCAUCUCAUGAGGCUGCUAUGCAGAGCAUAAGUAUAUUGGGUUCUGCAGAAGAAAUGGUUACCGAUGUUUGUGCUAAUAGGAUGGAUAUUAGUUUCGAGCCGUUUACAAAGAAAUGCAGAUCUGCCAUGAGGAAGAUGAAGACUCAAUAUGAACACAAGGUUGAGAGGGAAGUUACCAUUUUACCCUCAUGUGCAUUGCACAUGACAAUUUUUAACUGAGAUUUCUAACCAGGUUUGACCUAAAGGACAAAACGUGCAAGAUUUUGAAAGGUUAAGGACACCGCCUGUAAACUUUUGGCCAAAAGGACAGCGCCUGCAAUUUGAUGUAAAUAUAAAGGACAAAACUUGUAAUUUACUCUUUUGAAAUGGUGUAUUUUUUAGGCUAUAGGGUGCCCUUAUGACCAUCAUGGCUUUUCACGUCAGUGUCAUGUCACUCACCUUUAAUCAUUAUCUAAAACCACUACCCUAAGGGUGUAGUCAUGACCCAAACCACUAGCCUCUUAUUUAUUUUCAUUUAUUUUUGUGUAAAGAAAAAGGAAAUGAUUUCUUGAAAAAUGGAAAGGAAGACCAUGGUUUAAUCCAUGCAAACCAUGGCGGAUCAAGCAAGGGGGUGGUGUAGCCUUCUAUUCAUGUAUCUAGUUGGCAAAUCAUAUCCCAACCAUAACCUCCACACCCUUUAGCCUUAAAAAAGUGAGAACUCAUUAUUGGAAAAUAUACGAGACUUACAAAUACCCUAGUAACGAAUAAGAUUAGUUGAACAUAGCUUGGGCUUGACAUGUGACUUUAAAGAAGGUUAAAGACAUAAAACACUAGAAGAUAGAUUUAAAUAUGAGACAAUUACUAAAAUGACAAGGUUUACAAUUAGGUCACCACUUAAAGGUUGAAAUUAGGAAUGUGCGUGGUAUAGGUAUCGAAAAUCGUCAAAAUUGGGUACUGGUAUCAGUACCGAAAAUGUUGAGUACGGUAAGGUACUGAUAUUUGAAGGUAAAAGCUGGUAUUUUACAAUACCGAACCGAAAACGCCAAAAAGUGGAUACAGAGUCGGUACUGAAAAAAAUUUGGUACGGAAAAUUCAGUACCGAUACUAGUACCAAAUGCUCAUCCUUGAUUGGAAUUGUGUAACGUGUAGUUAAAGGGUUGGCUCUAGUCUAUACUACCUUAUUAAGAGAACUGAGUUUUCUACCGUUUUGGUGAUUUUACCACGCAUAGUAAUUUCGAAGCGUCAUCUACAAGAGAUAACAACCCAUUUAGAGGGGAGAGGGUAAACUUAGACAUUGUGAAAAAAUUAAGACGCUUGGAGGGUAUAAUUGGAAUUCUGGUACGAAACUACUCUGUGGCACUCAACCGUUUGAAUCCCAAUCGUCCUUGCCUUUCCUUGUUCUAGGUUAGGGUUUUCUCUAUAUAUCAAUUCCCUCUACAUCCCUUCACCGCCCUCAUCAGUGAAUGCUAAUUUUAUUAUCAUGUUGCAGUUGAAGCAUCCUUUCCUUUACGACGAUUCAUCGACCAUUACACACCAAUCUCCAUACCCAAAACCCCCCACACACAUUCACUCUCCAUCACAUACAUAAUGCGUGCCCUACAUUCCUAAAUCUAAACAUUUACAUUUCACAACUUGAAGCAAUUGAGUUAUAAGUUAAAGACUGAAAUUAAUAUGGCAGUUCCGGCCACUAUUCCGGCUACCCCCUUCGAGAUGCAUGAUAUAUUUUUUUCGAAUCUGCAAAAGGUAAAACCCGAUUACCUCACUUCAUUCCGAUUUGACUCUAUUUUCUUCUUUCAAGUAUCUGCACUGAAAUCGAGUUUCUACAAACUUCUUGAUCUGUUUAUCAGGAUGUCUCUCUUCUUCAUGGUCUGGGAAUCAAAUUUGUUCUUGUUCUAGGGACAUAUGUACAGAUUGACAAGGUUUUAGCUGAAAAGGGACGUGAACCGAAACACGUUGGAAGAUACAGAAUUACUGACCCUGAUUCGCUCAAGGCCGUGAUGGAUUCAGCGGGAAGAAUCCGGUUGAUGAUCGAGGCAAAGCUGUCACCAGGGCUGUCUUUAUGCGGCAUCUGUAGACACGGAGAAAACAAGCGGUUGCAUUCCAAUGUCAGUGUUGCAAGUGGUAAUUUUCUUGCUGCCAAGAAAAGAAGAGUUGUCGAAGGCAUUGAUUAUGAAGCAAUGGGUGAAGUAAAGAAAGUGGAUGUUCAUCGCAUACGUGAGCGGCUGGAUAAUGAUUCUAUUGUGAUUUUAAGCAACCUUGGAUAUUCUAGCUCCGGAGGUGUACUAAAUUGCAACACGUAUGAAGUUGCUACUGCUCGUGUGUUGCGCUUGGAGCAGAGGAACUCAUCUGCAUUAUCGAUGGGCCAAUUUUGGAUGAAUGGAGCCGGUUAAUCAUUAUUUUUUGACACUUGAAGAUGCUGACAUGUUAAAUACGUAGGCGAGCCAAGCAAAGCGAGAAUGCAAUUACGUAAAAGGAGGAGCUUAGAAUGGAAUUGAGGGUUUUUACGGUCUAUUGUUGGUGUAAGUAGUUGAAUUUUGAGUAUGGUGUGUUUGUGUUGUCUGUGGAUUUUGAUUAUAAAUUGUUGCUUUUAAACCCUAAAUUAAUAAGGAAUUUGUUUUUUUUUUCUUAUUUUACUUCAAAUUCUAUAGCCACAAAUUUAUAUUCUUCGUAUGUAAGAAGUUUUAGCUGCCAGUAUAUACAAAAAAUCAUGAUUUAGUUUCUUUUAAAAUGUUUUUAUCAUUUUGUGUGUUUUGUGAAAUCGACACCUUGGGCGGAACCGUGUAAUUUGUCAUCUUGAUAGGGUGUGAGAGUCAUGGCGGGUUGAAUUGUUCAAACAUCAACACUAACUUGCAUAUGCUUAAAAUCGUGUAACCUGAGCACAAUCCGUUUAACUCAUUUAUUUGAACGUGUCAAACGGGCUGGUAGGCGGUAAUCAAGUUGCAAACUUGUUAAUUGGGUAGGUUGGUUUAAAAAAUUGUGUUAAAUGGGUCACAAACGUUGACUCCCACUGCCAACAACACAUUGAUUGCACCUCUUGAAGAACUGCAGAAUCUUGCUGGUGGGAAUGACAUAAAGGCUUGGAGGCAGCAAAGAUUAGUGGGGUUGAUCCGGAGAGCAUGAGCAUAGCAGAACGUGAUGUAAUGCUCGUUUUUCGCACCCUAUGCAAGAUGGGCAAGAAAGAAGAUAACGAUGCAGUUACAACAAAGACACGAAUCCUAUCUCUUGAACUUCUACAGGCAUCGGUUUCACAAUCUCCAACAAUAUUUCAGGCAUGUUUUAACUUUUAAGCUUUGAUCACGGUUUUUCUUCGGGUGUGCCUAUUGGCACACCAAACCCUAGCAAAUUUAGGGUUUAUGAUGCAAUUUUUCUUAGCAAUCAAAUGGCUCGAACACUAAGGAUUAAUCAAAGACCGAAAAUUGAACCCAAAGGUUCUAAGAACACAAGUUCUUUAAUCAAAACAAAUCAACCAACGUUUACAAUAACCAAAACCCCUAUAAAUAGAUCCUAGAACCACAAAAUUAGGUAACAAAAUAAACGGAUAAAAGGAAACCAAAUAAAGUACCAAUAAAAAAUAAAGAUAGACUUAAAAUAUUAAAUCAUAAAGAAUAAUCCGUGCAGGUCUUCUUGCUGGUCGGGCCGGAUCACGAGUCAAGUUCCAAAUCACCGGGUCGGUCCGGGUCGCCUGCAUCAUUCUCCCCCUCUUCGAAAAAAAAAACUCGUCCUCGAGUUUUGUCUUAGGACCAAAGCCACCUGGAUCAAAAGUAACAUCAACCCAAAUCUUUUGCGCUAUUAUCACGACCCGCCUAAAUUGUUCAACUUCAUGGGUCGUCUCGUCCGGGUCUGGACUUGUACCACCUAGGUCGAAUGGGGCAUGGUUGUUGACUUUCAACUUAACCCACUCAAACAUCUUGUGAACUACAAUGAACUCAAAUGACGGUCCAUAAUUUUUAUUCAUGUGUGGGCCACAAACAUUUAUUCCACUGAGAUCAUUUUGUUUUUCCAAGAGCCCACUAGAAGUCAUUUGGGAGGCAUCAAGCAUGCCACGUCCAGAUGCCUUCCUCACAUCCAUGAACUUGCCGACAAAGGGGCCCACCACAUACUUUUGAAUAUUCCCCAUAUUUAAAAAAUAUGUCUCAUUCUCCAUUUGUUGAGUCGGCUUAGCGUCAAACUCAUCUAUAGUAAUAAUUUGAAUUUUAAAAGAUGGAUAUACGCUACCUUUACUUGCCUUGUUUAUUGAGGAAACAUUGAAUGCAUCCAUGAUUUGCGGCUUUGAUAGAGAUGUAGCAUCAUUAGCCGUCGACACAUCAUGCGUAACCCUUGCAGUGCUAUCAAAAACCUCCGCAUUACUGCUACCCAAAGCCAUCGUGUCGUCACCUGUAACCAUCGCAUCACCACCUUUUUCUACCACUAUAACACCUUCAACAUUACGACUUUUGGAACCCGAUUCAUCAUCCGGUAAGUUCCGAUUUCGACCGGUAACCCAAAAAUACCACUCCUCAUCCUCGUAUUCAUCAAAACAAGGAGGUGACAGAUAGAUAACGCUACAAUUUUCAGAAUACUCCUCCUUCCCACAGUUCUCAUCCCGGAUGAACGCCUUUGAGUCGGUUUCCUGAAACUUGUAACCAUCGCAGUCUUCAGGAUGCUCCUCUUUCCCAACGAUCUCAUCCCAGAUGACAUCCUUUGAGUCAGUUUCCUGGAUCUUACGAUCUUGCGAAUCGACCACGAUUUCAUCACUGCCUCUGUCGGCGAUUCUGCGAGUAAAAAGGUAGUUCUCAUCACGCAGAGCCAUUUGAACACCAAAGCUCUGAUACCACCUGAUGCAAUUUUUCUUAGCAAUCAAAUGGCUCAAACACUAAGGAUUAAUCAAAGACCGAAAAUUGAACCCAAAGGUUCUAAGAACACAAGUUCUUUAAUCAAAACAAAUCAACCAACGUUUACAAUAACCAAAACCCCUAUAAAUAGAUCCUAGAACCACAAAAUUAAGUAACAAAAUAAACGGAUAAAAGGAAACCAAAUAAAGUACCAAUAAAAAAUAAAGAUAAACUUAAAAUAUUAAAUCAUAAAGAAUAAUCCGUGCGGGUCUUCUUGCUGGUCGGGCCGGAUCACGAGUCAAGUUCCAAAUCACCGGGUCGCUCUGGGUCGCCUGCAUCAGUUUAUCUACGUAGCGUAUUGGUCAAUAUGCAACGUAUAGGGUUAACCCUCUACGCUGCGUAUUGACCAAUACGCUGCAUAGAUAAACCAUGGAUCUCAAUGUCUGAUAACCAAUCAUUGCACAGAAAACAAGGGU